GAUGAAGAACUAGCGAAAUGCGAUAAGUAAUGUGAAUUGCAGAAUUCAGUGAAUCAUCGAAUCUUUGAACGCACAUUGCGCCCGCCAGUAUUCUGGCGGGCAUGCCUGUUCGAGCGUCAUUUCAACCAUCAAGCCCCAGGCUUGUGUUGGGGACCUGCGGCUGCCGCAGGCCCUGAAAACCAGUGGCGGGCUCGCUGUCACACCGGGCGUAGUAGAUUUUAUCUCGCUCAGGGCGUGCUGCGGGUUCCGGCCGUUAAAAAGCCUUUUUUACCCAAGGUUGACCUCGGAUCAGGUAGGAAGACCCGCUGAACUUAAGCAUAUCAAUAAGCGGAGGA
rnacentral:misc_RNA from 1 species